GAUAAGGUGACUGAAUUUUAGGUUAUAAAUUGUAAAUUUAUAUAUGGAUAUUAUCCUCUUGUCA
rnacentral:tRNA from 1 species